GGAUGAGAGAGCGAUCUGGCUGCAACAUCUAUCACUCCAUUGAUUGCCAGGACUGAUUCGGCUGAUCUGGCUGGCCAGGCAGGUGUCCCCUUCCUCCCUCUCUGCUCCAUGUGUGUCCCUCCUGAAGCUGCACACUGUUGAAGAGGACAACCAUCCCCAAUAAAGGAAGACUGGUCUUCAGUCAAGGGUAUAUAAGUAGCGGAGCCCCCCUGCUAGAACCUCCAAACAAGCUCUCAAGGUCCAUUUGUAGGAGAACAUAGGGUAGUCAAGUUUCCAAGGCUCCAGACACAUUCAAAUGAGGUGCUACAUGGGGUAGUCUACCUUUAAAA
rfam:Chlorocebus sabaeus isolate 1994-021 chromosome 2, whole genome shotgun sequence.